rnacentral:rRNA from 1 species
AUUGAACGCUGGCGGCAGGCCUAACACAUGCAAGUCGAGCGGGAACUUCGGUUCUAGCGGCGGACGGGUGAGUAAUGCGUAGGAAGCUACCCGACAGAGGGGGAUACCAGUUGGAAACGACUGUUAAUACCGCAUAAUGUCUACGGACCAAAGUGUGGGACCUUCGGGCCACAUGCUAUCGGAUGCGCCUAGGUGGGAUUAGCUAGUUGGUGAGGUAAUGGCUCACCAAGGCGACGAUCUCUAGCUGGUUUGAGAGGAUGAUCAGCCACACUGGAACUGAGACACGGUCCAGACUCCUACGGGAGGCAGCAGUGGGGAAUAUUGGACAAUGGGCGCAAGCCUGAUCCAGCCAUGCCGCGUGUGUGAAGAAGGCCUUCGGGUUGUAAAGCACUUUCAGCGAGGAGGAAGGGAUGUAUGUUAAUAGCAUGCAUUUUUGACGUUACUCGCAGAAGAAGCACCGGCUAACUCUGUGCCAGCCGCCGCGGUAAAAC